GUCUACGGCCAUGCUACCCUGAACAAGCCCGAUCCCAUCUGAUCUUGGAAGCUAAGCAGGGUCGGGCCUGGUUAGUACUUGGAUGGGAGACCACCUAGGAAGACCAGGUUCUGUAGGCG
rnacentral:rRNA from 1 species